rnacentral:misc_RNA from 1 species
UGGAUGGACACCUGCUGGAGCUGAUCUUGAUCAUCGAAAUAAGCAAGAGUUCCCUCUGGCACAGUAUCCCCAGCAGCAAUCGGAGCCAUAGCUUAACCAACGGUAUCUGAUUUUUCAAGAAGGGUAGAUCGUAGAGCAAGCAGUAGCCCAAGCGUCUGUGAUCGAGAAAGCUUAGACAGCGCGAGUAUAUAUAAUGGCGCUAUCUAU